GCUCCUCUCUCUUCCUCUCCGUUGGUUUCUAAUGAAUUUCCGCAGUCGUAGUUGCCCUCACACAGACGUGAAGUUUAUGUUCCUCUGAGGCAGCGGCAGUAGCUGGGAGUUUGAAACUUGAUCGGUAUAGAUAGAAGAUACUAUGGAGACGUGUUUUAUUCUCAGCAUUUGGAUAUUCAAUCUCCUAGAUGCUGCGCGGGGAGACUCGGUCAAACCCAAGGAACCCGAAGUGUCUGGAUCAGUUGGAGGUUCUGUGACACUCAGCUGUUCUUACACCACCAGCAAUAACUACGUCUCUCUCUGUUGGUACCGACAGUACCCGAACCAAGCACCGCAGUACAUUCUCGAUAGAGGAGUGAAAUCCUACAGCGGCUGCAGCCGCACUGCGUAUUUCGCCCAGCAGAGGUUUUCUUCCCAGGCUGAGGACAGCUCCACAGUUCUGAACAUCACAGCCCUGGAGCUGGCAGACGCAGCGGUGUAUUACUGCGCCCUGGAGAGGUCACUGUGA